rnacentral:rRNA from 1 species
UAGGGAAUUUUCCGCAAUGGGCGAAAGCCUGACGGAGCAACGCCGCGUGAGUGAGGACGGCCUUCGGGUUGUAAAACUCUGUUCUUGAGGAAGAAUUCCUUCCAGGCGAACAGCCUGGAAGGUUGACGGUACUCAAGGAGAAAGCCCCGGCUAACUUCGUGCCAGCAGCCGCGGUAAUACGAAGGGUGCAAGCGUUAAUCGGAAUUACUGGGCGUAAAGCGCGCGUAGGUGGUUUGUUAAGUUGGAUGUGAAAGCCCCGGGCUCAACCUGGGAACUGCAUCCAAAACUGGCAAGCUAGAGUAUGGCAGAGGGUGGUGGAAUUUCCUGUGUAGCGGUGAAAUGCGUAGAUAUAGGAAGGAACACCAGUGGCGAAGGCGACCACCUGGGCUAAUACUGACACUGAGGUGCGAAAGCGUGGGGGAGCAAACAGGAUUAGAUACC